UACGGAGGGGGCUAGCGUUGUUUGGAAUUACUGGGCGUAAAGCGCACGUAGGCGGUUUUGUAAGUCAGGGGUGAAAUCCCGGGGCUCAACCUCGGAACUGCCUUUGAUACUGCAAAUCUCGAGUCCGGAAGAGGUGAGUGGAAUUCCUAGUGUAGAGGUGAAAUUCGUAGAUAUUAGGAAGAACACCAGUGGCGAAGGCGGCUCACUGGUCCGGUACUGACGCUGAGGUGCGAAAGCGUGGGGAGCAAACAGG
rnacentral:rRNA from 1 species